AGCCCCUUUCUUCCCAAAAACUGAACUGAGCUAGGGUUCUAAGUUCUAACUUGUAACCGUAUACUUUACUCUCUCAGUCUCAUGUUCAUAUUUCAGGGUCACGUAUAAAACCCUUUACUUGGUUGGUUCGUUGACACUAUAGUAGUCUAAUUCCGGCCCUCCUUCACCAAAAUAUGAUGGAGAAGACAUUGUUCCAAUCUUAGGCUUAAUGUGAGCAAAAAUGGUUGAGAUAAUAGAAGAGAUGUCAACGAGACCUCAAAUUCCCCAUCAACCUGCAACGAAUGGUUAGUAAUGUUGUAUCACCGCCAUAUGCACCUCCACCAUCUUCUCAACCUCAGGUCAGCGGAAGAAAGAAAGUAAGAGGACAUCUAAAGCAUGGAAGCACUUUGGGUAGAGUGUUGAUGCAGAGGGUAAUAAAUGGGCUGAAUGUAUCCACUACACAUAAGACCAAUUGAUAUGGAGCUCUUCUUCGGUUAGAGCUGAGGAGGGCGAGGAUGAUGUCAUCGAGUCAAGUAUAGACAAUCUAAUUAUUGUUUGAUAUUUUUUAUUAGUGAUAAGCUUUGGAUACUGUUUACUGUAAAUGAACAUUCUCACUACACAUAAGAGUAAAAGUCCAAAACUGAAUACCCUGA